rnacentral:rRNA from 1 species
AGCGAACGCUGGCGGCAGGCCUAACACAUGCAAGUCGAACGCCCCCUCGGGGAGGUGGCGGACGGGUGGGUAGCGCGUGGGGGUGUGCCCUUUGGUACGGAACAACUUAGGGAAACUUCGGCUAUUACGGAAGGUGCCUUACGGGGGUACGGUUUAACUCCAUCGGGGCAGACCAAGUUGGCUUAGGUCGUUGGUGGGGUAAUGGCCCCCAAGGCCGACGAUCCAUAGCUGGUGUGAGAGGAUGAUCAGCCACACUGGGACUGGGACGCGGCCCAGAAUACUACGGGAAGCAGCAGAGGGGGAUCUAGCGAAAUGGGCGAAAGGCUGACGGAGCCAUGCCGGGUGAAUGAUGAAGGUCGUAGAAUUGUAAAAUUCUUUAACCCGGGAAGAUAAUGACGGUACCCGGAGAAGAAGCCCCGGCUAACUUCGUG